rnacentral:vault_RNA from 1 species
GGGCCGGCUCUAGCUCAGCGGUUACUUCUUGACUUACAGCGCCAGCCCCUCCGGGGGUUCGAGACCCGCGGGCGCUAAUCGGCCUUUUG